AGGAGCCGUAUGAGGUGAAAAUCUCAUGUACAGUUGUGUAGAGUGGCAAUAAGAAUGACUUAUCUGUCAAUUUUUUUUAUUCCAAUUCCAAGAGUUUGGAUCGAAUCGGUAUAUCAAUACCGAUUUGAU
rnacentral:ncRNA from 1 species